AUGUCACAGAGUUGUUGCUGGCCCCUGUACGGGGGCAUGUGCACACUCUGUUUACACAUCCACUCACACCUGUGCACCCUCUGUAGUUCUAUGGCCUGGGGGGGCUCUGUCCUCCUGCGCUGUGGUUCUACGUCUUUACACACACACUGUAAUAAAGUCUUAUGGAAUGUAUGUCGCGUUUAACGCAAUGAAAUACAACUUUCAGCAACGGAUCUCUUGGCUCUCGCAUCGAUGAAGAACGCAGCGAAAUGCGAUAAGUAAUGUGAAUUGCAGAAUUCAGUGAAUCAUCGAAUCUUUGAACGCACCUUGCGCCCUUUGGCUAUUCCGAAGGGCAUGCCUGUUUGAGUAUCAUGAACACCUCAACUCUCACGGCUUGCCUGUGAUGAGCUUGGACUUUGGGGGUCUUGCUGGCCUGUGGUCGGCUCCUCUCGAAUAAAUUAGCUUGCCGGUGUUUGGUGGGGUCACAGGUGUGAUAACUAUCUACGCUUGCGUUUUUCCACCGGGUAACCUUCAGCAAUGGAGGUUCACCGGAGCUUACAAAUGUCUCUCCUCAGUGAAGACAGAUUUUGACCGUUUGAUCUCAAAUCAGGUAGGACUACCCGCUGAACUUAAGCAUAUCAAUAAGCGGAGGAAAAGAAACUAACAAGGAUUCCCCUAGUAACUGCGAGUGAAGCGGGAAGAGCUCAAAUUUAAAAUCUGGCGUGCCUCUGGCCGUCCGAGUUGUAGUCUGGAGAAGCGUUUUCCGUGCUGGACCGUGUAC
rnacentral:rRNA from 1 species